UACAGAGGGGGCAAGCGUUGUUCGGAAUUACUGGGCGUAAAGGGCGCGUAGGCGGCCUGCUAAGUCGAACGUGAAAUCCCCGAGCUCAACUCGGGAACUGCGUCCGAUACUGGCAGGCUUGAAUCCGGGAGAGGGAUGCGGAAUUCCAGGUGUAGCGGUGAAAUGCGUAGAUAUCUGGAGGAACACCGGUGGCGAAGGCGGCAUCCUGGACCGGCAUUGACGCUGAGGCGCGAAAGCCAGGGGAGCAACGGG
rnacentral:rRNA from 1 species